rnacentral:rRNA from 1 species
UGGGGAAUUUUGGACAAUGGGCGCAAGCCUGAUCCAGCAAUGCCGCGUGCAGGAUGAAGGCCUUCGGGUUGUAAACUGCUUUUGUACGGAGCGAAAAGGUCUGCCCUAAUACGGUGGGCUCAUUACGGUACCGUAAGAAUAAGCACCGGCUAACUACGUGCCAGCAGCCGCGGUAAUACGUAGGGUGCGAGCGUUAAUCGGAAUUACUGGGCGUAAAGCGUGCGCAGGCGGUUAUAUAAGACAGAUGUGAAAUCCCCGGGCUCAACCUGGGACCUGCAUUUGUGACUGUAUAGCUAGAGUACGGUAGAGGGGGAUGGAAUUCGGGGUGUAGCAGUGAAAUGCGUAGAUAUGAGGAGGAACACCGAUUGCGAAGGCAAUCCACUGGACCUGUACUGACGCUCAUGCACGAAAGCGUGGGGAGCGAACA